rfam:Anopheles gambiae str. PEST whole genome shotgun sequencing project, whole genome shotgun sequence.
AUCAACGACCAUACCAUGUUGAAAACACCGGUUCUCUUCCGAUCACCGAAGUUAAGCAACAUCGGGCAUGGCUAGUAUUUUAUUGGGUGACCACUUGGGAAAACCGUGUGGCGUUGGCA